rnacentral:lncRNA from 1 species
UUCUUGUCAGAGAAGGACUCUUCCUUCUCUUUUGCACCCAUAAUCCCAAAAGCCAUCUUAUGACAUGGUAAAUUAAUAAACAUGUGGAGAAUAAAGGAAGAAUGGAGAGUUUUAAAUGAAUUGGACUCUUCCAAUUCAAUCGCCAAAUAAUGGGGCGUCCCAAAUUAGUUUUGGCAUGGAGUUCCUUCCAAGACAAGGACUCCACAUCCUCUUCCA